UGCUAUCGGAGUCCGAUUUAGCCAUGCUAGUUGCACGAGUUUAGACUCGUAGCAUAUAGCUCAGUAACACGUGGCCAAACUACCCUACAGACCGCGAUAACCUCGGGAAACUGAGGCCAAUAGCGGAUAUCACUCUCAGACUGGAGUGUCGAGAGUGAGAAACGUUCCGGCGCUGUAGGAUGUGGCUGCGGCCGAUUAGGUAGAUGGUGGGGUAACGGCCCACCAUGCCGAUAAUCGGUACGGGUUGUGAGAGCAAGAACCCGGAGACGGUAUCUGAGACAAGAUACCGGGCCCUACGGGGCGCAGCAGGCGCGAAACCUUUACACUGCACGACAGUGCGAUAGGGGGACUCCGAGUGCGAGGGCAUAUAGCCCUCGCUUUUCUGUACCGUAAGGUGGUACAGGAACAAGGACUGGGCAAGACCGGUGCCAGCCGCCGCGGUAAUACCGGCAGUCCGAGUGAUGGCCGAUAUUAUUGGGCCUAAAGCGUCCGUAGCCGGCCGGACAAGUCCGUUGGGAAAUCGACCAGCUCAACUGGUCGGCGUCCAGCGGAAACUGUCCGGCUUGGGGCCGGAAGACCUGAGGGGUACGUCCGGGGUAGGAGUGAAAUCCUGUAAUCCUGGACGGACCACCAAUGGGGAAACCACCUCAGGAAGCCGGACCCGACGGUGAGGGACGAAAGCUAGGGUCUCGAACCGGAUUAGAUACCCGGGUAGUCCUAGCUGUAAACGAUGCUCGCUAGGUGUGCCGUAGGCUACGAGCCUGCGAUGCGCCGUAGGGAAGCCGAGAAGCGAGCCGCCUGGGAAGUACGUCUGCAAGGAUGAAACUUAAAGGAAUUGGCGGGGGAGCCCCACAACCGGAGGAGCCUG
rnacentral:rRNA from 1 species